rnacentral:lncRNA from 1 species
AAAAAAUUAAUUCACAAUCAAAUUGUGCUUGGGAAAGGAAUCAACAUGAGAUAUGAAGAGUCCAUGCCAAUAAGGACCCUUCCACAAACUUAACGUAAACAUUAAAGGAAAACCAAUCUAAUUGGCAUUCAAACUCCUUGUAAGAGAAGUACUCUUCCUUUUCUUCUAUGCCUAUAAUUCUAAGAAUCAUCUAACAACUCAAAGA